UAGUGAUUUGUCCAUUGACAUCAAGAUAUCAAAUGAGUUUUUCUUGUUUGCAGGUCAUUGCGCCGGUCUCGGUCUAUCACCUCUGUCUCUAGUAAUUCAUCUGGAAAAUCACAAUAUCAUGACAAACAAUCUUCACUGGCAUUUUCGUUUUCAAGUUCCGUUUGAACUGAGAAAAGUGUUGCCAUUAAUGGGGCAUCAUAUAUGCUCAGUCCAGCUCAAAAAAGAGAUCCAGUUGGCCAAAUAUUUUGUGCAGCCUCCAUUGGGGUAUGGCCAAUUAGUGAGGAUUUUGUCGAAUCUCAUUCACAUGCCACAGAGACAAGGAUAUUAUAAGACUUCCAAGAUUGUUUCAAUUUCUUCAUCGACCUUUAGCUCAAUUAAUUUUCGUGCUUUGUGCUCCUAAAAGUAAAGAAGGUUAUGCUAUGAGAGGAGGUGGCUUACCUUUGCAUAAAAUAUCAGAUGGAAAGGCAUAUGCAAUCAAAAUGGCUUUGGAAGCGAAGGGCAUCUCUUUAAGUGUCUAUGCUGGAAAGCGGUAUUGGUACCCAUUCACUGAGGAGGCAAUUCAUCAGGGAAGAUGGCAUCUUGGGCGGUGGUUUCGGGCGAGCACCUAAGUGUAUUUAGCAACUAGGCACUAUAAGGCUUUUCAACCUAAUUGUGAAUACGCUAACUAGUCAUUGAGACUAGUGCAGAGAUGGGAGUCGCCACCUGGAUAAUUACUAGGACACUUUUACUAAUGAGUGACGUUUCAGAUUCUAUAAGAAAGCUUACGCCACAGACUCCAGAGAUAGAUUCAGAAGCCAACUUUCUUAUUUUUGUAUAUUAGUCUUUAAUUUUAUUGUUUAACAAAUUAUGCCCUAUAAAUGCAAGCAAUUCAUACACA